AAACUCAUAUAGUUAAGUACCUGCUAGACCAUGGAGCCGAUAAGGGGAUUUUUACAAAGAACAGAGAUCUGGCAGUACAUCUGACUUCAAAAAAAGAAAUCAGAAAACUUCUUGGAGCUCCUGAAGUGGAAGGUGGUGAUAAUGAAGAAGUGACUAACUUAAAGCUGCUGAGUAUGGCAAACUGUCUCACCAAUGAAUCAUUUCCAGGGACUUACAAUCAAAAAGGGGAUAGUGCCACUCUUAUGGCUGUUCCACCCAAAGAAAAUAAUGCUGCCAUACCUCUUUUAUCCGCUGGUGAUACUAGCCUUUGUUUAUCAGUUCAGGCAGAAAACAAUGGCAUGGACAUUUCUUUGCAUAAAGAAACCGAACUCCCUGGGAAACACUUUUGGGUUGAGGAGCUCAUUUCAUCCGUGGUUGCAGAAGCAUCUGAAGACAUAAAGUCUAGAGUUCAAAGCUUUCCUCCCUCAUUUUCUUCAUCUACACAUCGCAACAGAAAUCACUUGACUUCAUGUCAAUCUAUACAACAUAUGCCUAACCCAAAAAAUGGUGCCAGAAUGGAGGCAGAGUCAGCAUUACAGCCACUGCUUUUCAACGGAACAUUUCCGUGCAAUAUGCAUGGUGGUGAAAACUUUUCAAGUAAUGUUUGUUUAUUCUUCUUGAUAGAUUGUUUGGCAGGUUUGAUCUUCUUCCAAUGGGCAAGCGCCCAUGAUAAAGCAGGUGGGUUUGGAUGGGCACUAAGAGAGGCAGCAAUAGUUCUAAGAGCCCAGGGCACCUUUGGAGUUCAAGGUAGUCUUUGACUCAGUGGUGGGUUGCACUUACCUUCACUACCUGUUCACUGAUCGUGUGUGUGUUCCGUUCGCGCAUGCGCCUGACUCACACUACACGAGUGUGCACAAUUCACCACCCCUGCAACAACCAGCUGAUUGUCGAGACUCACUCAGGUGCCACACGCUGUGCAUGCAUGCACAAUUAGCCUUUUUCCAUAAAAACAGGUAUAGAGUGCGGGUGGGCCAAAAGAGCCACCAUAUUGGUUCGCUCUCAGCUGCUCCGGGCCGCUACCAAUUCGGCCGAAAUGGGUCAAACCGGCAGCAACCUACCUCUGCAUUCGUUUGUCUGUUAAAUGACGUUAAUUAUAACCACACUGAUAAAAGUGCAAUUUUUCACCUUUGUGACUGUUUUU